AUAAGUAAUUAAGAGUUAUUAUAGAUUGUUGGUUUUUAAGUUUAUUUAAAGGUGAAAUUUAGUAAUAAAAGGUAUCUGCUAGUAAAUCAUAAGUUUCUGAGGUUAUUAAACAUAAGGGAUGGAAUAGGAUUAGAUACCCUAGUACACUUAUACAAAAUAAUAAUUUUGUCUGGGGUAGUAGAUAGAUAUGGGCUUGAAAUCUAAAGAAUUUGGCGGCAUUUAAGUCUAGUUAGAGGAACUUGUGCUGUAAUCGAUAAACCACGAAUAUCUAACUUUAUUUUGUAUAAUUCAGUUUGUAUAUCGCCAUUAUUAGAUAAUCUUCAUAUAGAUUAUUAAGGUAGAAUUUUUCUCUUACAUUAGGUAAAGGUGCAGCUAAUAGUAAAGGUGGUCAUGAGUUACAUUAUUUUUAAAAUAGAUGAAUAUAGUUGCUUGAAAUAGUUGAUUGAAGGUGGAUUUAAUUGUAAAAUUUGUUUAGUAAACAUUUUUGGAAAAAGCUCUUAAAUGUGUACACAUCGCCCGUCAAUCUCAUUUU
rnacentral:rRNA from 1 species